UCCGGUUGAUCCUGCCGGCGGCCACCGCUAUAGGAAUUCGAUUAAGACAUGCGAGUCGAGAGUCGUAAUGGACUCGGCGGACUACUCAGUAACACGUGGACAACGUGCCCUUAAGUGGGGGAUAAUCUCGGGAAAUUGAGGAUAAUACCCCAUAGAUCAUGGCAUCUGGAAUGAGCUAUGGUUCAAAGUUCCGGCGCUUAAGGAUCGGUCUGCGGCCUAUCAGGUAGUAGUGGGUGUAAAGUACCUACUAGCCUAUGACGGGUAUGGGCCUUGAGAGAGGGAGCCCAGAGUUGGAUUCUGAGACACGAAUCCAGGCCCUACGGGGCGCAGCAGCCGCGAAAACUUCACACUGGGGGCAACCCCGAUGAGGGAAUUCCUAGUGCUAGCUCUUUUUGAGUUAGCUUUUCUUUAGCGUAGAUAACUAAAGGAAUAAGGGCUGGGUAAGACGGGUGCCAGCCGCCGCGGUAAUACCUGCAGCCCAAGUGGUGGCCGAUAGUAUUGAGUCUAAAACGUUCGUAGCCGGUCUGAUAAAUCUUUGGGUAAAUCGGGAAGCUUAACUUUCCGACUUCCGAGGAGACUGUUAGACUUGGGACCGGGAGAGGCUAGAGGUACUUCUGGGGUAGGGGUAAAGUCCUGUAAUCCUAGAAGGACCACCGGUGGCGAAAGGCGUUUAGCUAGAACGGAUCCGACGGUGAGGGACGAAGCCCUGGGUCGCAAACGGGAUUAGAUACCCCGGUAGUCCAGGGUGUAACGCUGCAGACUUGGUGUUGGGAACCCUUUCGGGGGGUGCUCAGUGCCGGGAGAGAAGUUGUUAGUCUGCUACUUGGGGGGAGUACGUCCGCAGGAUGAAACUUAAAGAUUGGCGGGGG
rnacentral:rRNA from 1 species